rnacentral:rRNA from 1 species
UACGUAGGGGGCAAGCGUUGUCCGGAAUCAUUGGGCGUAAAGAGCGUGUAGGCGGCUUGGUAAGUCCGCUGUGAAAGUCCAGGGCUCAACCCUGGAAUGCCGGUGGAAACUGUCAAGCUUGAGUCCGGAAGAGGCGAGUGGAAUUCCUGGUGUAGCGGUGAAAUGCGCAGAUAUCAGGAGGAACACCGGUGGCGAAGGCGGGUCUCUGGGCCGAUACUGACGCUGAGGAGCGAAAGCGUGGGGAGCGAACAGG